rnacentral:lncRNA from 1 species
GAAAUAUUCUGACCUAAGAACACUUGGUGUAAAAACUAAGGAAUUGUAUGAUCUAGCAUCAUCUUCAUGCGUUUGGAGUAGCUAGGAUUGGAUCUCUCUCAUUCUUUAUACAAUUGAUAAUUGUUUUGAUGCCUAAGGUCCAAGGACGUUCCUUGGCAAUUUGUUAAUUAGUAAUUGAUUAAAGGACGUUCCCUAAUUGAUUUGAUCAUAAGGAGAGACAUGGUGGUGAGAAGCAUUUUCCACCCCCAUAACUAAUCUAUUGAACCAAUCAAGAAAACAUAAGUUUCAAUGAUCA